rnacentral:rRNA from 1 species
UACGUAGGGACCGAGCGUUGUCCGGAUUCAUUGGGCGUAAAGAGCUCGUAGGCGCACCACUAAGUCGAAACGUGAAAACUCGGGGCUCAACCCCGAGCCCCGCGUCGAUACUGGGCGGCUAGAGUCUGGUAGGGGGAUCUGGAAUUCCCGGUGUAGUGGUGGAAUGCGUAGAUAUUAGGAAGAACACCAGUGGCGGAAGGCGGCUCACUGGCCCGGUACUGAACGCUGA